rnacentral:rRNA from 1 species
AACGAACGCUGGCGGCGUGGAUAAGACAUGCAAGUCGAACGGGAUUUUUUCCUGUAGCAAUACAGGAAAAAGUCUAGUGGCGAACGGGUGCGUAACACGUGAGCAACCUGCCGUGAAGUGGGGGAUAGCUCGCCGAAAGGCGAAUUAACACCGCAUGUGGCCAAGGAAGACAUCUUCCUGACGCCAAAGCCGGGGCAACCUGGCGCUUCUCGAGGGGCUCGCGGCCUAUCAGCUUGUUGGUGAGGUAACGGCUCACCAAGGCUAUGACGGGUAGCUGGUCUGAGAGGAGGACCAGCCACACUGGAACUGAGACACGGGCCAGACACCUACGGGUGGCAGCAGUCGAGAAUUUUUCACAAUGGGGGAAACCCUGAUGGAGCGACGCCGCGUGGAGGAUGAAGGUUUUCGGAUUGUAAACUCCUGUCAUUAGAGAACAAGGCGCACGGUUUAACUGGCCGUGCGUUGAUAGUAUCUGAAGAGGAAGAGACGGCUAACUCUGUGCCAGCCGCCGCAGUAA